rfam:Picoides pubescens contig17182, whole genome shotgun sequence.
GCAGACUCACUCUGUACUGAACUGCAGUCUUCAGUUCAGGUGCUUUUCCUGUCUGCAAGAGUAGUGGCUCACAGGAGUGACAACUGCCUUCUUUCUUGUAGGAGGCUGUUGUAACAGCUGUUGGGACAUUGCU